AGGAGGCAGAAGCAGCUCUUUUACUCUGCCUUUGUUGCCACUUGACACAGUUCAUGGAAGUGAGCAUGAUUGUGCCUUGGACUAGUUGAGGGAGUAAGCAAGCUCUGCCACAAAUGCUGCCAAUUGAGAAAAACCGUAACUGGGCAUUUUAAAGGGGCUAAAGAUGACUGCUGGCACCAAAAUUUGACUUUUUUUAAUGGUACUUGAGGAGAGCCACACCCAUGGAGGUGAUGGAAGCCCUGGCAGCCCUGCAUAUUCCUUUAUAAUGAUGGAUGUAAAGUAUGAGUCAGGCAACAACAGAAGAAUUGCUGAAGAAAUUUUGCUAAAAACCUCUCUGAAAAAACAGUUAUGAGUCAGAAGAAGCACAACUGGAUUUUACUGGCUUGGGACUGACUUGGUUGGAUCUGUAAUUUCAGAAACCAAAUUCCACAUCUGGAGCUGUCUACAUUUUAGCUAUUAAUAGGAUGUCUGUGGUUUUAUUUCAAUGCCACCACUGGGAAACAGGACCUGCCCUGAAGAAGGGGUGGCUGCCAGUGGCCACUGAUGCCAGGCACAGAGAACCCCAUUACAACAGGAGAUUUCCUGCAGUGAUGACUCAAAACAAAUAGCUUUUUUCCAGUGGAAAAAUGCAUUGUCAGUGUGAAAGAAAAACAUAAUUAGCAGAGGCCAGAUAAGGAAGACACUGGAAAACCCCAAAAGCUCCAGAGUCCCUGCUUUUGCUUUCUGGCCCUGCCAGUGUAAUUUGUUUUACCUAUCUUUUUGUUACCAAAUAUUAAAUUUAUGUGCCAUUAAACGCUGGUUAUUUCUGACAGGAUACCAAAGAAAAGCAGCAGUUGUGUCAUUUUUGGGAGUUCAUGUGUGGAAG
rnacentral:lncRNA from 1 species